CCUACGGGUGGCAGCAGUGGGGAAUAUUGGACAAUGGGGGCAACCCUGAUCCAGGCAUGCCGCGUGUGUGAAGAAGGCCCUCGGGUUGUAAAGCACUUUCAGUGAGGAAGAACGCCUGGUGGUUAAUACCCAUCAGGAAAGACAUCACUCACAGAAGAAGCACCGGCUAACACCGUGCCAGCAGCCGCGGUAAUACGGAGGGUGCGAGCGUUAAUCGGAAUUACUGGGCGUAAAGCGCGCGUAGGUGGCUUGAUAAGCCGGUUGUGAAAGCCCCGGGCUCAACCUGGGAACGGCAUCCGGAACUGUCAAGCUAGAGUGCAGGAGAGGAAGGUAGAAUUCCCGGUGUAGCGGUGAAAUGCGUAGAGAUCGGGAGGAAUACCAGUGGCGAAGGUGGCCUUCUGGACUGACACUGACCCUGAGGUGCGAAAGCGUGGGUAGCAAACAGGAUUAGAUACCCCUGUAGUC
rnacentral:rRNA from 1 species